CUUUGCCCCGCCCCAUGUCGGCCUGCUAGUCUGUGCCGUGUUGCUGCUUCAAACACCUUAACAAAAGGAACUAGAAAAACACUUCGAAGCCACAGGAGACUACAGGGAGGUUUGAUGGGUCGAGGUCUGGUGGCAAACCAGUACGCCAACACAGCUGUCAGGGCGCCAAUGCCCACCAAGGUGGAGGUCGGCAGGGAGCGAAAGAACUGGCCCAGCUCGUCCAUCUCUGGUAUCCUCAGGCCACUCAUCAUGUCCUGGACCUGCAUCUUCUCCAUUAGGGUGGAACUCAAUUCUGCAGAGGAAUCAGAGAUUUUAAACAUUGUUUGUAAUACAAACUGAACUGGUUUUGGAGCUUAGAUUGCAUCAUUUUGAUAAUUUCUUGCUUGUGCAGCAGGAAAACCAAACAUGAGGCUCCAAAACAUUAAUGUUUAUUUCUUUGCAGCCAUGGAAAAAGAAGAAGUAGAAGUAGACAAGGGAUUAAAACACAAAACCACUGACACUGACAGUGGGCAGCUGGCAUAAGCAAAAAAUAAAUCAUGUAAAAAAGUGACAAAUUGUUCCUAUUCCUGUAUGCCAAAUACAUGUUUCUUUCAAUGUCUAUCUUGACAUAAAGACUACAAAAAAUAUGCAUAAGUUGAUUCUGUUUAACUAUCUGUAGAAUUAAUUUUUUUUUUUUUAUGUUAGCUUCAAAUCUAAAAGUUUAAAAAUAAUUUUCAAAUUAAUAGUUUGUUAUGUUGCAUCAAUUGACAGGAAAUGUCAUCUUAAGGCACUUCACAUAAAAUCUAAUUUAUAUACAGAAAUGUGGCAACAGUAGAAAAAAUAAAGUGUUCAAUAAAUUUUGA